UACGAAGGGGGCUAGCGUUGCUCGGAAUCACUGGGCGUAAAGCGCACGUAGGCGGAUUGCUAAGUCAGGGGUGAAAUCCUGGAGCUCAACUCCAGAACUGCCUUUGAUACUGGCGAUCUUGAGUCCGGGAGAGGUGAGUGGAACUGCGAGUGUAGAGGUGAAAUUCGUAGAUAUUCGCAAGAACACCAGUGGCGAAGGCGGGUCUCUGGACAGUUCCUGACACUGAGGCACGAAGGCCAGGGGAGCAAACGGG
rnacentral:rRNA from 1 species